GAAAUGUAUGCCUUCAUGUGUUAAUGUUUGCAUUUGAUCCAAUUGCAGCAUGACGGCCAGCCCUACUGCCACAAACCCUGCUACGCUGUUCUCUUCGGGCCCAAAGGCGUGAACACUGGUGGUGUUGGCAGCUACAUCUAUGAGAAGGAGCCCAGUGCAGUGACCCAGCCUUGAACCUUUUGUCCCCUCAGCUUCAUCCCUCCUCUUCUCUACACAACACUGACCAUCAACCACAGUAUUAUUCGUCCUCUUCCUCCCACCUGGCGCUCAUACCUGAGACAAAUUAUCCCUUUUCUCCUUUAUUCUGACCCGCUCCCAGCUGAUUUAGUACCAGGAGGAAUGAUUUUAAAUGGCCUAAACAUGUGUUGUAUAAUACAUUUGCUCUGGGAGAGCCACACCAAGCAUUCCCACAGGUAUUACAAGUAAUUUAAUGCCAUGUUUACACAUUUAUAAACGUAUGAGAACACAUUCAAUGUCACCACAGUCAAAUACGAAGGUCCUAUAUUUCAAUUUUGUAGCCUGACAACAGUGUGAUUGAGGAUAUCCGGUUUGAGGUGACUUGUGUUUAACAAAAAUGUGACAGAGAUUGAUUCUUGGGUGUGGAGAAGUGCCUUCUGGCUGGAGGUGGAGGUGUAGCGCGUUGACAGCCGGAGGAAUUACGCCUUGGAGGCACAGGUGGUGCUCAGAAUCAGGUUGCCAAUAAAUGUGUAUUUUAAAAAUGCCAUAUUUACCUUUUGCCCGCCUGUCAACAUUCCUUAUUUUAAAAGAAAUUACAACAAAUCCCAACAUAUUGCAAAAAAGGUGGGAAAGUGGACCUGUUAGGCGACUGUUACAUGACUUCCAACACAUCCACAACGCUGUAUUGAGUCAACAUGAAUUUAUUCUAAUUUUAAGCAUAUGUUAUUAACCUGUUUUAAUGUCAAAAUCUGGUUUAUGUGCUAAUAAACAACAAAACCGUCCAUUUCCAAAAUGAGGCAGAAUGUGGAUGGGGUUUUCUAAACGGAGGAAUGUGGGUUGCCAGAUAAGAAACAAGUAUUUAUUGCUUCAAAUUAAGUCCUUCAAAUUUAAUUAGCCAUUGUACUGCUGCCCUUUAUGGGACUGAUUGUGAAGGAGGUCAAACAGGGCAAUGUAAGCUGUAAAAAAUCUCUACAACUAAGAUGUUUUAUUGUUAAUUAUAAACAAAUAACCCGGCUGUUAUUUUCCGAGAAAUGAAGCGCUAUUUGAAGUAUUUGUUGCCGUUAGCAGUAGCUUAGCUUGUAGACACACUGCAGACAAGUCAUUCUGUGAGAAUGUGCAUCCUAGUAUUAUCGUAAGACUGUUACUGUGUUUGUUUAAUACCUGUCGUACAUCGUAGGGCUCACUGUUUGUAGAAUGAGACGCUGCACUUCAGCCCUGCUGCAUUUUGUCUUUUUAAUUCCUUGAAUAAAUAUGUAAUAAACUCUU